UUGAUAGUGAGUCUGUUGAUGGACAGAGGUAGGGUAACCAUACAACUUAUAGCAGAAGGGCUUUAGGUGACCAAAUUUCCCACAGUAAUGACAUCUCCAUCUUUGGUGUUUCUCUUUCUGCUGUCUUCUCCUCUAAUGUUGUGACAUCUCAGGACUGCUCUUACUAUUGCUGCAUUGAGGUUUGCAACUAGUGUAACUGC
rnacentral:lncRNA from 1 species